CCAAACGAGCAGCACCAACCGAAAAUAAUGGCUAUCACAGCCAUAGCCUCCGCCUCCAGAACCCUCAUCCUGUUCUCCCCCUUCAAAACCUCCCUCGCCUCUUUUUGUAAAAUUUCUAAACUACCCUCCUCCUCCGUCAAGACCACCACCACCCUUUCGCAAUUGCAAUCCCAAACCUCUCGGCGCCACAACGUCGUCGAAAUCCUCCAGCAACGCGGUCUCCUCGAGUCCCUCACGAGCUCCGACCUUCACGACGCCGUUUCCACCGGCCCCGUCAAAGUCUACUGCGGCUUCGACCCCACCGCCGAGAGCCUCCACCUCGGUAACCUCCUCGGCAUCAUCGUCCUCUCCUGGUUCCAGCGCUGCGGCCACCACGCCGUCGCACUCAUCGGCGGUGCCACUGCCCGUAUCGGUGACCCAUCCGGCAAGUCCCUCGAGCGGCCCGAGCUCGACGCCGACGCGCUCCGCAAAAACACCGCCGGCAUCCACGACACCAUCACCAAGAUCCUCCUCUCCAAUUCGGAGGCUUGUUCGAAUUUCGUGAUUCUGAACAACUACGACUGGUGGAAAGAGGUGAGGCUGCUGGAUUUUUUGAGAAAUGUCGGCCGGUACGCGAGGGUUGGGACGAUGAUGGCGAAGGAGAGCGUUAAAAAGCGGCUGGAAUCGGAGCAGGGAAUGAGCUACACGGAAUUUACCUAUCAGCUAUUGCAGGGCUACGAUUUCUUGCACCUGUUCGAGAAGGAGGGAGUGAGUGUGCAAAUUGGAGGGAGCGAUCAGUGGGGGAACAUAACGGCUGGGACUGAAUUGAUUCGGAAGAUUUUGCAGGUGGAGGGGGCGUACGGACUGACAUUCCCUCUUCUGUUGAAGAGCGACGGUACCAAGUUCGGGAAAUCAGAAGACGGUGCCGUUUGGUUGUCGCCAUCAAUGCUGUCGCCGUACAAGUUUUAUCAGUACUUCUUCUCGGUUCCGGAUGCGGACGUGGUGAGGUUCUUGAAGAUUCUGACGUUUAUGGAGUUGGAGGAGAUUAGGGAGGUGGAGAGGGAGAUGGGGGCGCCCGGGUACGUCCCCAACAGCGCGCAACGGAGGCUUGCAGAGGAAGUCACACGGUUCGUGCACGGCGAGGAGGGGCUGAGCGAGGCCGUUAAGGCCACCCAGGCGAUGAGGCCGGGAGCCGAGACUAGGUUGGAUUGGAAGGCCAUCGAGGGGAUUGCGGAGGAUGUGCCGUCUUGCUCUUUGUCUCACCAUGAGGUGUUGCAUCUCUCGCUCGUUGAUCUUUCCGUUGCAGCCGGUUUGUUGGAGAGCAAAUCGGCUGCGCGGCGCAUGUUGAAGCAGGGGGGUUUGUACUUGAACAACUCUAGAGUGGACGGAGAGAAUAAGAGGAUUGAGGCGGAGGACAUUGUGGAUGGGAAGGUCAUCCUUUUGUCUGCGGGGAAGAAGAACAAGGUACAACAGAACUAACUGGAAAGGUGGUGACUGCUCUCUCUCUCUCUCAAUCAUUUUACAAACCUGAGGCAAUGCAAAGCAUUUAUCCGUUCAAGAAAAGUAGUAGUAUAUUCAACCUCACCAAGCAUUUUCUAGGGCAGAUAAGUCAAGUACAAGGAUCCUGAAUAACACCAAGCAGAUGCCCAAGCCUGUCGACUUUAUCUGAUGCAUUUGGGAAGACUUCAAAAACAAGGUUUUUGAAGCCUUCCCAAAUAUGCAUCUCUUCUGAAAGCCAUGUCUGUGUUUGAAAGUACUUUUGGGUUUUAGAGAAAAUUCUCUUUGCGAUGGCCUUCAGAGUUGUUUGGAAAUCUUUUAGUUUCAGAAGAAAAAUGAGUUGUGGAGAAGAGAUCUCGGAGGAUGCAACUAAUGAUCCUGGCAUAAAGCUCUAUUCCUUUUUGCUAAACUGUCAGAUUCAGGUUACGUCAGAAGUCAUGGGUCCUGCAGUGAUAGAACAAAGGCAGUGGUGGAGAGCUCUUGUGUGGAAAACUUAGGAGAGACACAGAAGUCCUCUACUUUAGGUGAUAGGAAUGACUACAACGUCCUGUGCACACCCGAAGAAGGGCAGGAGACCAAUGCUACAGAGCAAGAGGAAGUGGUUGAGAAGCCAGACAAGGUACUAUGAUGUCCAAGAUGCAGCAGUUUAGAUACAAAAUAGCGCUAUUUCAAUAACUACAACGUCAGCCAACGUAGGCAUGUCUGUGAAAACUGCCAGAGAUAUUGGACAGCCGGUUGAACUGCGAGAAAUGUUCCUGUGGGUGCUGGGAGACGAAAGAACGAGCACUUAGCCCUUCACUACCGUCAGAUAAUAGUACCCUCUGAUAGAGUAGCAAUGACAAGAUCAGAAGCCGCCAGACUCGGCCAACCAUCAGCUUACCUUCUCUUAUGUGGUGAAUCUUCAAUCGCUUUCAGGUCUUCAAUGGGAAAUGGGAGGCUCCUAAAAUUUGGUCCUGAAGCACACUCUUUGGGAAUCAAUGGAGAUUGUUCUUAAUUAAAGAGACCAGAAAAGAUGUGUUGAGAUGGGUUCUGUAAAUGUUGAACGAAAUGAAGAGCCUUUCCUCAUGCAUAGCAGGUUCCAAUAAUCAGGGGAAUCCAUUACUUGAAAAUAUUGUGCAAAGGGAGAGAGAGUAUGUCAUUGACUGCAUCUAGUGGUUGUCUAUCUCCAUCCUCCUCUGCCAGCAACAGUAGCUGCUCUGGCAAUGGCUCACCAACCCUAGGCAAGCCAUUCCACAGAUGUAAAGUUUACAGAUGAAGAGAAAUGAGAAACAUGUAUUUUGGUUCCAAAGACAA